rfam:Salmo salar isolate Sally breed double haploid chromosome ssa23, whole genome shotgun sequence.
UGCAUUCACUACUGUAAGUCGCUCUGGAUAAGAGCGUCUGCUAAAUAAUUAAAA